rnacentral:rRNA from 1 species
GACAGAGGAUGCAAGCGUUAUCCGGAAUGAUUGGGCGUAAAGCGUCUGUAGGUGGCUUUUAAGUCCGCCGUCAAAUCCCAGGGCUCAACCCUGGACAGGCGGUGGAAACUACCAAGCUGGAGUACGGUAGGGGCAGAGGGAAUUUCCGGUGGAGCGGUGAAAUGCGUAGAUAUUGGAAAGACCACCAAUGGCGAAGGCACUCUACUGGGCCACUACUGACACUGAGAGACGAAAGCUAGGGGAGCAAAUGGG